rnacentral:rRNA from 1 species
AGAGUUUGAUCAUGGCUCAGGACGAACGCUGGCGGCGUGCCUAAAACAUGCAAGUCGAACGACCCUUUCGGGGGUAGUGGCGAACGGCGUAGUAAUACAUGAGAAACGUGCCCUUAAGACUGGGAUAUACCGGGGAAACCCGGAGCAAUACCAGAUGUGACGGAGUUGUGGCAUCACAAUUCCAUUAAAUGGUUUUUCGCUUAAGGAGCGUCUCAUGGCCUAUCAGGUAGUUGGUGAGGUAAUGGCUCACCAAGCCGACGACGGGUAGCGGGUCUGAGAGGAUGAUCCGCACGAGUGGGACUGCGACACGGCCCACACACCUACGGGUGGCAGCAGUUGGGAAUCUUGCACAAUGGGGGAAACCCUGAUGCAGCGACGCCGCGUGGACGAUGAAGGCCUUAGGGUUGUAAAGUCCUUUUUUGGGGAAAGACUUAGGACGGUACCCCAAGAAUAAGCUCCGGCUAACUACGUGCCAGCAGCCGCGGUAAGACGUAGGGAGCAAGCGUUGUCCGGAUUUACUGGGCGUAAAGAGCUCGUAGGCGGCUUGUUAAGUGUGAAGUGAAAUCUCCAGUGCUCAACACGGAAACUGCUUUACAUACUGGCAAGCUUGAGGAAAGCAGAGGUAACUGGAAUUCCUGGUGUAGCGGUGAAAUGCGUUGAUAUCAGGAGGAACACCCAUGGCGAAGGCAGGUUACUGGGCUUUAUCUGACGCUGAGGAGCGAAAGCGUGGGUAGCAAACAGGAUUAGAUACCCUGGUAGUCCACGCCCUAAACUAUGGAUACUAGUCGUGAGAGGUAUCGACCCCUCUCGUGACCGUAGCUAACGCGUUAAGUAUCCCGCCUGGGGACUACGGCCGCAAGGUUGAAACUCAAAUGAAUUGACGG